CUACGGAUGCUCCAGUGGGGAAUAUUGCACAAUGGAGGAAACUCUGAUGCAGCAACGCCGCGUGGAGGAUGACACUUUUCGGAGCGUAAACUCCUUUUAUAUAGGAAGAAGAUGACGGUACUAUAUGAAUAAGCGCCGGCUAACUCCGUGCCAGCAGCCGCGGUAAUACGGAGGGCGCAAGCGUUACUCGGAAUCACUGGGCGUAAAGAGCGUGUAGGCGGAUUAAAAAGUCAGAAGUGAAAUCCUAUAGCUUAACUAUAGAACUGCAUCUGAAACUCUUAAUCUAGAAUAUGGGAGAGGUAGAUGGAAUUUCUGGUGUAGGGGUAAAAUCCGUAGAGAUCAGAAGGAAUACCGAUUGCGAAGGCGAUCUACUAGAACAUUAUUGACGCUGAGACGCGAAAGCGUGGGGAGCAAACAGGAUUAGAUACCCUAGUAGUC
rnacentral:rRNA from 1 species